rnacentral:rRNA from 1 species
GACGAACGCUGGCGGCGUGCUUAACACAUGCAAGUCGAACGGAAAGGCCCUGCUUUUGUGGGGUGCUCGAGUGGCGAACGGGUGAGUAACACGUGAGUAACCUGUCCUUGUCUUUGGGAUAACUUCAGGAAACUGGGGCUAAUACCGGAUAGGAGCUCCUGCUGCAUGGUGGGGGUUGGAAAGUUUCGGCGGUUGGGGAUGGACUCGCGGCUUAUCAGCUUGUUGGUGGGGUAGUGGCUUACCAAGGCUUUGACGGGUAGCCGGCCUGAGAGGGUGACCGGCCACAUUGGGACUGAGAUACGGCCCAGACUCCAACGGGAGGCAACAGUGGGGAAUAUUGCACAAUGGGCGGAAGCCUGAUGCAGCAACGCCGCGUGCGGGAUGACGUCCUUCGGGUUGUAAACCACUGUCGCCUGUGACGAAGCGUGAGUGACGGUAAUGGGUAAAGAAGCACCGGCUAACUACGUG